rnacentral:lncRNA from 1 species
GGGCUCGGAGCCUAGGCGGGCGGGCGGGCGCCGAGAGCGACCUCGCCAGACCCGCGGGGGAACUAGCAGGCUUCGCCGGCGAGGGAGGGCCGAGGUGCGGCCGCGGAGAGGGUGCCCGGAGGUGCCCCCGGCGUCCGGGGAGGCUCGGGGGGCGCCCACAGCCCUGCUCCGGAGCUCUCCCCCAAGUUCUCCCAGCUCAGACUAGGGCUUCCAGGCCAGCUCUCUCCCGCCUCCCGGAGCGAGCGGUCCGCGCCCACCCUCAUCCCCCGGAGCGUGGCCGCUGGUUUGGGGCGCACGCACGCCGAUCGCGGCGUCCAGCUUCGGUGCCUACCUCGCGGUCCUCUCCUUGCCGAACGGCACAUACGAAACUUAAAAAAAAACCCGAAAACUAAAACCUCUGCAUUAAAAAAAAAAAAUCCCCGUUGCUCUUUACACCCCGGAAACGGCAAGGGAACGACGGGCUCCGGCGGAGGGGCCGCUGUGGGAGCCGGUUCAAUCCAGCCCGGCAUGGUUCUCCAGGCCUGCCCGGGCGCAUGAAGAUCGGCGCCGCCGCCACUCGUAGCAACCCCUCUCCCCCGAAAUCCGCGGCUCCCGGGCUCACUUACCGAGCGUGUGGAUGGGAGCGCAGGCCGGGGGCACCUGGGAGCACGGCGGGCCGAACAGUCGAGCCGCAGCUCCGCUGCAGCCGACGCCGGGGCAGCGAGUCGCCAGACAAAGCCCGAGAUGGCGAAGCGGAGCGACGGCUAAUGGCGAGCCCCACGCGCCGCGCUCCGCCCGCCCCGCUCCGCCCGCCCGCCCGCCCGCCUCGGCGCAGCGCAGCGCCGCUCCGAGCGCUUGCCCGUCAGAGCCGCCUCGGCGCCGCCGCCUCCCGGGCCACCCCGGCCUCGCCUGGCCCCUCCGCCUCCUCCGGGCGGCUCAGCCUCACCCCUUCCCUCCCACUGCUCUAGGGGUUGCACAAAAAAAAUUUUUUUUUUUUAAAGAAAAAUGGUUUUCGUCUUUUUUUUUUCUUUUUGCAGGGCGGGCAUGUUGAGACUUUUGGAUAUUUCUGCCCCCAGCUCGCACUCACCUGCGGAGCCGCCGGGAGGGCUAGGGGUGGGGGCGCGCGGGGCUGGAGCCGGCGAGCGCGGGUUGAAAGCCAGCCAAGCUCUGCAGCGCCCGACCCGGGCGUGUACGCCGCCGCCAGUCCCCGCAGAGAAAUCGUCCUCCUACCCCGCCUCCAUCGCUCUGCGUUUCUCUUCCAAUCAGCCGGUCGCUUGGUGGCUCCUCCAUUCUCCGGCCAAGCCCAGCUGCCUAGAGCGAGCUCCACUCCUCCAUCUGUUCGCCGGGGUCCUCGCUCCCCUGCCGGGGCCGGCGAGACGGCGUGAGGCCGGAGGGGGAUUUGCAAGGAAACCUGCCUGCUUCCCGCUCCCAUUGCUCCAUCCCCGCUGCCUCCUGCCUCCUGCUUCUCUCCUGCGUCUUUCCAACUCUCCCCUGUCGCCACUGGUGUGUGUCUGAGUGUGUGCGCGGUUUUUUUUUUUUAAUUGCUCUUUGCUUUUGCAACCCUGAAGCAAAAGGGGGGGGGGGUAGUUACAGGGAAAAAAAAAGCGAGAAAGAAGCUCUUAGAUUUGCAACACAUCGGAAAACCGGGGGAGCACCCCGCCUUAUCCGAUCUCCAUGCUCCGCAAGGGCCUUCCGGGUUUUAGGACAAGCUUCUCAAUGUCCCGUUUCGCUGGGUUUAGGAUCCGAGGAGUCCGAGCAAAAAGUUCUCCCCCUGGGUCGUAGUGACGGGUGUCGGGGUGGGAGUUGCGGGGAUUUUUCAAGAAGCAGCAGCUACCCCGGCGUCGGUCACUGGGCCGGGGUAGGGGAAAGAGCAAAAUCCCAGUGGGUUUGCGCGAGGGAUCUUCUAGGGUCGAGGCGGGUGUGGGGGGAGUUGGAACCGGGAGACACCGCUUGGCGCAUCUCUCCCUCGGUCUCUACCUCCUGUCCUAUGCCAGCUCCCCCUUUAAUUUUUUUCCUCUCCUUUAAUCUAAUUUCUUCCAACUCCACCUUUGUUGUUACCGGCGUCACACCCGGACCAGCCAAUCCCCGCCACGCAAUCAGCUUGUCAAAAAGCCUCGGCCAUCCCUAGGAAAGCAGGCCGCAGGCGCUGCCCCCCGGCGGCGGCGGGCAGCCGCGAGGGGAGCCCAGCACCCGGUUCUCGCUGCCCCGGGUGGCAGCGGGGCAGCCUCCGACAAGACGUCCCUUGGUUCACUGUCCUGCAGGCCGGGGAUGAAAGGCCUGGACAGGGUCCACCACCCACUCUCCCACUGCCACGGCCGUGGUUGACUGUCUUUGCCUCCCCUUUUCAGAGGAAAGGUUAUCAGGACAGGACGCAGGGAGCCAGAAGACCAUCUGAAGGAAGCCUGCUUCCAACGGGCCCAGCCUCCAGCCACCGCUCCUGGGGCAGCGCCAUUGCUCCUGGCUCUCAGGCUGCCAGUCUCCCACACCGACGCUCUACUGCCCGCAUCUCGGCCAGCUGGGUCACCCAGCCCCUUUCGACUCUCCCCUGGCACGCAGCCUUCUCCUUCACUCGGCCUGCCUCGCUGCUGCUGUAAUUCCUCUUGUCUCCUGGGAGAAAUGAGAUUGCUUUCCCAGGACUUCCACAUCCCACUUCUAUCAGGUUUCACCAACAGGGAGGAAGCCCUGUCAAGAUCUGGUGUGUCCUGUUUUUUUUUUUUUUUUUUCCCAGAGGGCACUGGCAUGUAGGAGAAGCGGAUUUACCACUAGUAGAUGUUAAUGAAAUUUCAGCUUCUAGGCCCCUAACUUGCAGGACCUGCCCAAGGCCCUGAACUUAAUUUUGUUUUCAUCAUUUGGUAUUUUUUUGUUAAAAGAGCCACCGACCACCUCCCCGCUACCCCAGAACUGCACGUGUUUCUGGCCCUACAAACCCAGAUCGUCCCUUGGAAUAUACACAGGGCAAUUUGUGUAGGAUCACACUGCGCUAAAAGUGAGGCAUGGUGGGCUAGGCGCACUGGCUCACACCUGUAAUCCCAGCACUUUGGGAGACCAAGACAGGAGGUCUUAAGUGAUUAAGCCCAGGAGUUCGAGAUCAGCUUAGACAACAUAGCAAGAUGCUGCCUCUACAAACACACACACCCCCUAUUAUAAUAUGUCAAAAAAAAAAAAAAAAAAAGGAAAAGUGAGGCAUAGAACUGACUUUAUUGUUUUGACUAGGAAAGAGCAAAGGGUUUGGAAUCAAAAGUCCCAACUUCCCCACCUUCUUAAUAGUGUGUGAAUCUGAGUGCCUUAUUAACCUUCCCUGGUCCCAGUUUCGUAUCUGUAAAGUUAGAAUAGCAAUCCUGUUUAAUUUGCUUCUCUCACCAGGGAUCAGAAGGCCAAAUGAGAUGAUGUAUGUAAAAUUGUAAAGUCCUCCACAGAUGGCACUUGCCACAUUACAGAGAACUUGAGACCCCCCCCCACCAAUAACGUUCCAAAUCUUCCACAUGCAGAUCUGGAGUCCAGGUGUCCUGGCUCCUGGCCCUGAACUUUUUGGCUGGGCCAAGGGGCUUUUCGGUAAAGUGCUUUGGAAUAAAACAGGAUGAACAUGAAUCAUAAGAAUGAGUAUUUAUUGAUUCCUUGGGCAGCAAAAACUAUGGCUGGCACCCUUCCCACUUGGAAACGAAUUGGCUUGUUUUACAUCUAUUUCGUCUGUGGUGAGGUCAGGAGUCCAAGACUUGGGCUAACGGCCAGAGUAUGAGGAAUCUGCCCUUGGCCCUUUUUCUUUGCCCCAUUUCCCAGUUCAUCUCCCUCCUCACCCUCCAGCCUUCUGGCAUGUGCCUUGAAGCAGAGCGCUGGCAUUCAAUAACCCCAGCCCAGGCUGGUGACAAAGCGGGAUCCUAGCUACACAAUUUCCACUUGGCCUCAGUAUUUCCCCAGGUUGCCAGCAUCCAAGCACCAGCUUAUAUAAAACCCCCAGAGUGCCUGGAAUGCGUUAACCAAAGUGUGGUACUUAAAUUACCAGUCUACAGGGAGUAAUUUUAGAUGGUAUACCAAUAUUUUCAGAUUUAUGUAUUUUAAUGCAUAUUGGAAAUGUUCUGUUUUUAAAUUUUUAUUUAAGAUGGUAUAAAGACACACGUUUUUGGGCCAAGAAUGUUAUUGUCCCUUGUUACUUUUUUUUUUUUUUUCCUUGGGACGGAGUUUCACUCUUAUUGACCAGGCUGGAGUGCAAUGGCGCGAUCUUGGCUCACCGCAACCUCCACCUCCUGGGUUCAAGCGAUUCUCCUGCCUCAGCCUCCCAAGUAGCUGGGAUUACAGGCAUGCACCACCACGCCCAGCUAAUUUUGUAAUUUUAGUAGAGAUGGGGUUUCUCCACGUUGGUCAGGCUGGUCUCGAACUCCCAACCUCAGGUGAUCCGCCCACCUUGGCCUCCCAAAGUGCUGAGAUUACAGGCGUGAGCCACUGCGCCCGGCCUGUCCCUUGUUAUUUUUUUAUUGCUGUGUAAGUCAGAGAUAGUAAAGUACACAUACUUUAAGUAUACAACUUUUUUUUUUGAGACGGAGCUUUGCUCUUGUCACCCAGACUGGAGUGCAAUGGCACGAUCUUGGCUCACUGCAACCUCCACCUCCCUGGUUCAAGCAAUUCUGCCUCAGCCUCCCGAGUAGCUGGGAUUACAGGCAUGCGCCACCACGACCAGCUAAUUUUUUUGUAUUUUUAUUUAUUUAUUUUUUGAGAUUGAGUCUAGCUCUGUUGCCCAGGCUGGAGUGCAGUGGCACGAUUUCAGCUCACUGCAACCUCCGCCUCCAGGUUUCAGGCGAUUCUCCUGCCUCAGCCUCCUGAGUAGCUGGGAUUACAAGCGCCCACGACAAUGCCCAGCUAAUUUUUGUAUUUUCAAUAAAGACGGGGUUUCGCCAUGUUGGCCAGGCUGGUCGCGAACUCCUCACCUCAGGUGAUCUGCCUGCGUCAGCCUCCUAAAGUGCUGAUUACAGGCAGGAGCCACCCAACCCAGCAUAAGUAUACAGCUUGAUGAACUUUUAGGUAUGUAUAUUUAGUAUCAUAUUACAUAUGUGUAUACCAUGUAACCAGCACCCAGAUCAAAAUAUCAAAUAUUUCUAGCAUUUAGCAAGUUUUUUUUUUUUUUUUUUUUUUUUGAGGUGGAGUCUCACUCUGUCACCUAGGCUGGAGUGCAGUGACACGGUCUUGGCUCACUGCCAGCUCUGCCUCCCGGGUUCGUGUCAUUCUCCUGCCUCAGCCUCCUGAGUAGCUGGGACUACAGGUGCCCGCCACCAUGCCCGGCUAAUUUUUUUUUUAAUUUUAAUUUUUAGUAGAGACGGGGUUUCACCGUGUUAGCCAGGAUGGUCUCGAUCUCCUGACCUCGUGAUCCACCUGCCUCAGUCUCCCAAAGUGCUGGGAUUACAGGCGUGAACCACCGCACCUGGCGCAUUUAGCAGGUUUACUCAGUAUUCCCCUCCAAGUAUCAUCAAUGUUCUGAGGUUCUGAGCUCUAUCACCAUAGACAAGUUUUACCUGUUCUUGUAGUAUUUCCAUUGUAUAAAUAUACCACAAUUUAUCCAUUCUACAUUUAUUUAUUUAUUUUAAGGUGAAGUCUUGCUAUGUUGCCCUAGCUGGUCUUGAAC